rnacentral:lncRNA from 1 species
GAUUCAUUCGUAAGUCAAAAAAAUAAAAUCGGGGAUCUUUUUAUAGCCCGAAAAUACCACUUAUCAAGAGUCAAGCUCGCGGCUGCUUGGGGUUUUUUUUUGUUUUCUUUUUCUGAAAGUGUUUUGGGUUGUUUUGUUGGGCUAGGGUUUAGGUUUAGUUUGGGCUGUUUAUUGGUUUUGGGCUAUACAGGCCUGCUGGCUUUGUAAAUGGACUCGGGCUUUGGUAAAUUGGGCCAUUUACAGCUGCCCCUCUUUGCUCAUUGUCGUGUAACGGGAAUAAAGCAAAGACUUUAAAAAGGCCAAAUUUGCCCGAUCUUGUCGAGUUUUGACUUCUUUAAC